CCUGGUGACCCAGGCAAGCGGUCCACCUUGGAGAAAGGUGUACCUGAGGGAACCAGCUCUUCUGGAGGUGAUGUGUAAUACUGAAAAAAGAGGGGAGACACAGAUUGGAUGUUGGGAGGCAGUUCUUGAAUCUGAGGGUGGUGACGCACUGGAGCAGGUUGCCCAGGAAAGCUGUGGGGCCGCCGCCAUCUUGCUUGGGAGCCUGGGAGCCACUCUGCCCUGGAGGGGGUGCCCAUGAUGUCACAGUGGGUGGCAGGGAGUGGCCACUGUGACGUGUGGGGCUGGGAGCAGAGCAAAGGCUGCUAGGCUCAGAGCGUGCGUCAGUGCGGCCUGGUGAGGUGCAGAGAGAGCAGGGACUCUCCGAGUGCUCACUGUUAAUGCGCACCAUGUCCAAUAGGAAGCGGAAGGCCCCCAGCUCGGGGGAGCGAGUUUGCGCGCUGUGUCGCCGGGCGGAUGUCGACCCCAACAUCUGCGGGCGCACCUUUGCCCAGAGUGGCAUUUGUGUGCACGAGUUCUGCUUGGUGAGUUCCCUCCACAGCUCCUGCCAG
rnacentral:lncRNA from 1 species